CUGGCGUGUGGCAGGCAGCUGGCGACUCGACGAGGCGGAGCCUGCUGAAUUCGACCAAUUGCGAGGCAGCGGUCGCCCCGGCCCGAGAAGCCCGGAUCGAAGCUCAGGGUGGCGGCCCCGGAGCCGGGGAAUGUGAAGAGCUCUCGGCUGUGUAGUAGUGGCGCCGGGGCCUGGGCCGCGAAGGAUCUCCUGCCGCAGCUGCAACAUGGGCGGAAAGAACAAGAAACACAAGGCUCCAGCGGCCGCGGUGGUCCGGGCCGCCGUGUCUGCUUCUAGAGCCAAAUCUACAGAGGCUGGAAUUGCCGGGGAGGCCCAAAGCAAAAAGCCGGUGUCGAGGCCGGCCCCUGCUGCCGCUGCCAGCGCCAGGGAGCCCCGUAUCAAGCAAGGUCCAAAAAUUUAUAGUUUUAAUUCUGCAAAUGAUUCUAGUGGUCCUGCAAAUCUGGAUAAAUCUGUUUUGAAAGUGGUAAUUAAUAACAAACUAGAGCAAAGAAUUAUUGGAGUGAUCAAUGAGCAUAAAAAGCAAAAUAAUGACAAAGGAAUGAUUUCUGGAAGACUUACUGCCAAAAAAUUGCAGGAUUUAUAUAUGGCUUUACAAGCAUUUUCAUUUAAGACAAAGGACAUUGAAGAUGCCAUGACCAAUACACUCUUAUGUGGAGGUGACCUUCAUUCUGCCUUGGAUUGGCUCUGUUUAAACCUUUCAGAUGAUGCACUUCCUGAAGGAUUCAGUCAGGAAUUUGAAGAGCAACAACCUAAAAGUAGGCCUAAAUUUCAGUCUCCUCAAAUACAAGCCACUAUUUCACCUCCAUUGCAACCUAAAACCAAAAAACAUGAAGAAGACCCUAAGAUUAAGCCAAAAAAGGAAGAAAAAAAUACGGAAGUAAAUAUGAAAGAGUGGAUUUUACGAUAUGCUGAACAACAAAAUGAAGAAGAAAAGAAUGAGAAUUCUAAAAGUUUAGAAGAGGAGGAAAAAUUUGACCCUAACGAAAGGUACUUACAUCUUGCAGCAAAACUGCUGGAUGCAAAAGAGCAAGCAGCUACCUUUAAACUAGAAAAAAACAAGCAAGGCCAAAAAGAGGCUCAAGAAAAAAUAAGGAAAUUUCAAAGAGAAAUGGAAACAUUAGAAGACCAUCCAGUAUUUAACCCAGCCAUAAAGAUUUCACAUCAACAAAAUGAAAGGAAAAAACCUCCUAUAGCCACAGAAGGAGAAAGUGCAUUGAAUUUUAAUGUAUUUGAAAAAUCUGCAGCUGCUACUGAAGAGAAAGAUAAAAAGAAAGAACCUCGUGAUGUAAGAAAUUUUGACUAUACUGCUCGAAGUUGGACUGGAAAAUCUCCCAAACAAUUUCUGAUUGAUUGGGUCAGGAAGAAUCUUCCCAAGAGUCCAAAUCCUUCCUUUGAAAAAGUUGCAGUAGGUAGAUACUGGAAAUGUAGGGUUAGGGUAAUCAAGUCUGAAGAUGAUGUCCUGGUAGUAUGCCCUACAAUCUUAACAGAGGAUGGCAUGCAAGCUCAGCACCUGGGAGCUACUUUAGCCCUUUAUCGUUUAGUUAAAGGGCAGUCAGUUCAUCAGUUACUUCCUCCCACUUACCGAGAUGUUUGGCUGGAGUGGAGUGAUGCAGAAAAGAAAAAGGAAGAAUUAAAUAAAAUGGAAACCAAUAAACCACGUGAUCUUUUUAUUGCCAAACUUCUGAAUAAAUUGAAACAGCAGCAACAGCAGCAACAACAGCAUUCUGAAAAUAAGAGAGAAAGCUCUGAAGAUCCUGAGGAAUCUUGGGAAAAUUUGGUUUCGGAUGAGGAUUUUUCUGCACUGUCCUUGGAAUCAGCAAAUGUGGAAGAUUUGGAACCUGUUAGAAACCUCUUUAGAAAGUUGCAAAGCACACCUAAGUAUCAGAAACUUCUAAAGGAAAGACAACAGUUACCUGUAUUUAAACAUCGGGACUCAAUUGUUGAAACUCUUAAAAGGCACCGGGUAGUGGUUGUGGCAGGUGAAACAGGGAGUGGUAAAAGUACUCAGGUACCACAUUUUCUAUUGGAAGAUUUGCUUCUAAAUGAGUGGGAAGCAAGUAAAUGUAACAUUGUCUGUACUCAACCCCGAAGAAUCUCAGCAGUGAGUUUAGCCACCAGAGUAUGUGAUGAAUUGGGCUGUGAAAAUGGACCUGGAGGAAGGAAUUCAUUGUGUGGGUAUCAGAUCCGGAUGGAAUCUCGAGCUUGUGAAUCUACUAGGUUACUCUAUUGUACAACAGGGGUUUUGCUAAGGAAACUUCAAGAAGAUGGUCUUCUAAGUAAUGUGUCUCAUGUUAUUGUAGAUGAGGUUCAUGAAAGAAGUGUCCAGUCAGACUUCCUACUAAUUAUCUUGAAGGAAAUUUUACAGAAACGUUCUGAUCUACACUUGAUUCUAAUGAGUGCCACUGUGGACAGCGAAAAAUUUUCUACAUAUUUCACACACUGCCCCAUUCUCAGAAUUUCAGGAAGAAGUUAUCCUGUUGAGGUUUUUCAUCUUGAAGAUAUAAUAGAAGAAACAGGUUUUGUACUGGAGAAAGACUCAGAAUAUUGUCAGAAGUUUCUGGAAGAGGAAGAAGAAGUAACCAUUAAUGUUACAAGCAAAGCCGGGGGAAUAAAAAAAUAUCAGGAAUACAUCCCAGUUCAGACUGGAGCAAAUGCUGAUUUAAAUCCAUUUUACCAAAAGUACAGCAGCCGCACUCAGCAUGCUAUUCUAUACAUGAAUCCUCAUAAAAUCAACCUGGAUCUCAUUUUGGAACUUCUUGCAUACUUAGAUAAAAGUCCCCAGUUCAGAAAUAUUGAAGGAGCAGUAUUGAUCUUUUUACCAGGUCUUGCUUAUAUUCAGCAGUUGUAUGAUCUUCUGUCAAAUGAUAGAAGAUUUUAUUCUGAACGAUAUAAAGUGAUAGCUCUGCAUUCUAUUCUUUCAACCCAAGAUCAAGCUGCAGCAUUCACACUUCCUCCUCCAGGAGUCAGGAAGAUUGUUUUAGCAACAAAUAUUGCAGAGACGGGUAUCACUAUUCCAGAUGUUGUAUUUGUAAUUGAUACUGGAAGAACAAAAGAAAAUAAGUACCAUGAAAGCAGUCAGAUGAGUUCUUUGGUCGAGACGUUUGUCAGUAAAGCCAGUGCUUUGCAGCGCCAGGGAAGAGCUGGGCGGGUCAGAGAUGGCUUCUGUUUCCGAAUGUACACAAGAGAAAGAUUUGAAGGCUUUAUGGAAUAUUCUGUUCCUGAAAUCUUACGUGUACCUUUGGAGGAAUUAUGCCUUCAUAUUAUGAAAUGUAAUCUUGGUUCUCCUGAAGAUUUCCUCUCCAAAGCCUUAGAUCCUCCUCAGCUCCAAGUGAUCAGCAAUGCAAUGAAUUUGCUCCGAAAAAUUGGAGCUUGUGAAUUAAAUGACCCUAAACUGACUCCGUUGGGCCAACACCUUGCAGCUUUACCUGUGAAUGUCAAGAUUGGCAAGAUGCUUAUUUUUGGUGCCAUAUUUGGCUGCCUUGACCCAGUGGCAACACUAGCUGCAGUUAUGACAGAGAAGUCUCCUUUUACCACACCAAUUGGUCGAAAAGAUGAAGCAGAUCUUGCAAAAUCAGCUUUGGCCAUGGCGGAUUCAGACCACCUGACAAUCUACAAUGCUUAUCUAGGAUGGAGGAAAGCACGACAAGAAGGAGGUUAUCGUUCUGAAAUCACAUAUUGCCGGAGGAACUUUCUCAAUAGAACAUCACUGUUAACCCUAGAGGAUGUAAAGCAGGAGUUAAUAAAGUUGGUUAAGGCAGCAGGAUUUUCAUCUUCCACAACUUCUACCAGCUGGGAAGGAAACAGAGCAUCACAGACCCUCUCAUUCCAAGAAAUUGCCCUUCUUAAAGCUGUACUGGUGGCUGGACUGUAUGACAAUGUGGGGAAGAUAAUCUAUACAAAGUCAGUGGAUGUUACAGAAAAAUUGGCCUGCAUUGUGGAGACGGCCCAAGGCAAAGCACAAGUACACCCAUCCUCAGUAAAUAGAGAUUUGCAAACUCAUGGAUGGCUCUUAUACCAGGAGAAGGUGAAGUACUCAUUCCUAAAUUCCAGUAUUCAGAGCAUUAUUCUACAAGUCAUUCAUAACAAGUUAGGAUGCCCUAACAGAUAAGGUAUGCCAGAGUGUAUUUGAGAGAAACUACCCUAAUAACCCCUUUUCCAGUUUUACUUUUUGGUGGUGAUAUAGAAGUUCAACACCGAGAACGUCUUCUUUCUAUUGAUGGCUGGAUCUAUUUUCAGGCCCCUGUAAAGAUAGCUGUCAUUUUCAAGCAGCUGAGAGUUCUCAUUGAUUCUGUUUUAAGAAAAAAGCUUGAAAAUCCAAAGAUGUCCCUUGAAAAUGACAAGAUUCUGCAGAUCAUUACGGAAUUGAUAAAAACAGAGAAUAAUUGACGCUGAAAUUCAUGGUCAACUGCUUAAAAAUUAAGAUGAAGAUACAGUCAUGAAAUUAUCUGAAAAUGGAUCAUCACAUUAAGUAUUUCAUUACUUAAAAUGUUGGUACUAGCCAUUAACUUAAAGGUGGUGGGAAAAAAGCACAUACUUUAAAUAUGUGUAAUUUUCUAGUUCCUUUUUAACGAUGAUUAUUCUGAAUGUAUUUGCCACUACAUUUACAAUAAAUUCUUUGGUAUCAU